rnacentral:lncRNA from 1 species
CCCUACAAAGGCACUCAUUUGGGUUCGUCCUACCUCUUGGAUUCAGAUAAUCAAAGGUAUAAUAGUGAUAAGACUCUGGCAACCAUAAAAGACCAAAUAUGAUACAUCCAAGCGCUGAUUUAGUUUGACAGGAAGCCUCAAGGCCUAUACCUAAGGCCCCACAAAGGCACCUGUUAUAUCUAACUUGGUUUCUCGGGCGUAUACAUAUUCAAUCAAAGCUUAACACCCAUUCAAC